rnacentral:sRNA from 1 species
GGGAUGAAGCUGAGGCAUUUUUUCCAAUUUUAGUCUAUCGAAUCAAGAAUGGAAAAAAUGUAAAUGGAACAACAGGAUUCCACUAUGCCCAACAUUUCGAACAUUCACAUUCUUUACAUUUCGCGAUUCCAUUAUGAGUCUGCGUUGGGUGCCAAAAUUACCGCUUGAUAUAGAUGAAACAGCUAAUCGCAUAUUUGAGACAUGCUGGAAAGACUGAU